rnacentral:rRNA from 1 species
UCGAGAAUUUUUCUCAAUGGGGGCAACCCUGAAGGAGCGACGCCGCGUGGAGGAUGAAGGUCUUCGGAUUGUAAACUCCUGUCAUUGGUGAACAAGGCCGGCCCUUAACUGGGAGCCGGAUUGAUAGUAGCCGAAGAGGAAGGGACGGCUAACUCUGUGCCAGCAGCCGCGGUAAUACAGAGGUCCCGAGCGUUGUUCGGAUUCAUUGGGCGUAAAGGGUGCGUAGGCGGCGGGGUAAGUCUGAUGUGAAAUCCCGGGGCUCAACUCCGGAACUGCAUUGGAUACUGCCUUGCUUGAGUACUGGAGAGGAGACUGGAAUUUACGGUGUAGCAGUGAAAUGCGUAGAGAUCGUAAGGAAGACCAGUGGCGAAGGCGAGUCUCUGGACAGUUACUGACGCUGAGGCACGAAGGCCAGGGGAGCAAACGG